AGUGAACGCUGGCGGUAUGCCUAACACAUGCAAGUCGAACGGCAGCACAGUAAGAGCUUGCUCCUACGGGUGGCGAGUGGCGGACGGGUGAGGAAUGCAUCGGAAUCUACUUUUUCGUGGGGGAUAACGUAGGGAAACUUACGCUAAUACCGCAUACGACCUACGGGUGAAAGCAGGGGAUCUUCGGACCUUGCGCGAUUGAAUUAGCCGAUGUCGGAUUAGCUAGUUGGCGGGGUAAAGGCCCACCAAGGCGACGAUCCGUAGCUGGUCUGAGAGGAUGAUCAGCCACACUGGAACUGAGACACGGUCCAGACUCCUACGGGAGGCAGCAGUGGGGAAUCUUGGACAAUGGGCGAAAGCCUGAUCCAGCAAUGCCGCGUGGGUGAAGAAGGCCUUCGGGUUGUAAAGCCCUUUUGUUGGGAAAGAAAAGCAGCAGGUUAAUACCCCGCUGUUCUGACGGUACCCAAAGAAUAAGCACCGGCUAACUUCGUG
rnacentral:rRNA from 1 species